rnacentral:rRNA from 1 species
AGUGGACGCUGGCGGUAGGCCUAACACAUGCAAGUCGAACGGCAGCACAGUAAGAGCUUGCUCUUACGGGUGGCGAGUGGCGGACGGGUGAGGAAUACAUCGGAAUCUACUUUUUCGUGGGGGAUAACGUAGGGAAACUUACGCUAAUACCGCAUACGACCUACGGGUGAAAGCAGGGGAUCUUCGGACCUUGCGCGAUUGAAUGAGCCGAUGUCGGAUUAGCUAGUUGGCGGGGUAAAGGCCCACCAAGGCGAGGAUCCGUAGCUGGUCUGAGAGGAUGGUCAGCCACACUGGAAGUGAGACACGGUCCAGACUCCUACGGGAGGCAGCAGUGGGGAAUAUUGGACAAUGGGCGCAAGCAUGAUCCAGCCAUACCGCGUGGGUGAAGAAGGCCUUCGGGUUGUAAAGCCCUUUUGUUGGGAAAGAAAAGCAGCAGGUUAAUACCCCGCUGUUCUGACGGUACCCAAAGAAUAAGCACCGGCUAACUUCGUG